UGUCAAGCAUUUUGGCACCGUUUCGGUGAGCGGAUUUCUUUUGCCUGAAUGAGGCAAAGGAACAUG
rfam:Methylosinus sp. R-45379 contig_5, whole genome shotgun sequence.